rnacentral:tRNA from 1 species
GGCUAGAUGGUCUAGUGGUAAGAUGUCCGUCUCUCAGACGGGAGACUCCAGUUCGAACCUGGGUCUGGCCA